CAGAGGGUGCGAGCGUUAAUCGGAAUUACUGGGCGUAAAGCGUGCGUAGACGGCUAUCUAAGUCGGGUGUGAAAGCCCCGGGCUCAACCUGGGAAUUGCAUUCGAGACUGAAUAGCUAGGGUACGGUAGAGGGAAGCGGAAUUUCCGGUGUAGCGGUGAAAUGCGUAGAUAUCGGAAGGAACAUCAGUGGCGAAAGCGGCUUCCUGGACCAGUACCGACGUUCAGGCACGAAAGCGUGGGGAGCAAACAGGAUUAGAUACCCUGGUAGUCCACGCCAUAAACGAUGAGGACUAGACGUUGGAGGGGUAAGCCUUUCAGUGUCGUAGCUAACGCGCUAAGUCCUCCGCCUGGGGAGUACGGCCGCAAGGUUG
rnacentral:rRNA from 1 species